CCUACGGGAGGCAGCAGUGAGGAAUAUUGGUCAAUGGACGAGAGUCUGAACCAGCCAAGCAGCGUGAAGGAAGACGGCACUAUGUGUUGUAAACUUCUUUUGUAAAGGAAUAAAACUAGGUACGUGUCCCCGUCUGCAAGUACUUUACGAAUAAGGAUCGGCUAACUCCGUGCCAGCAGCCGCGGUAAUACGGAGGAUCCGAGCGUUAUCCGGAUUUAUUGGGUUUAAAGGGUGCGUAGACGGCUUGAUAAGUCAGUUGUGAAAGGUUGGGGCUCAACCGUAGAAUUGCAUUUGAUACUGGCGGGCUAGAGUACAGUUGAGGUAGGCGGAAUGCGUGGUGUAGCGGUGAAAUGCUUAGAUAUCACGAAGAACCCCGAUUGCGAAGGCAGCUUACUAACCUGUGACUGACGUUGAGGCACGAAAGUGUGGGUAUCAAACAGGAUUAGAUACCCGGGUAGUC
rnacentral:rRNA from 1 species